CACCGCCGCAUAACACAGAAAACGACGAGAGAGACAAAGGGAAGUUCCGGCAUGGAAGUUGUGGUGAAUAUAACGACCACUGCAGAGUCUCAGGCAUUAUCUCUCUGGCAUUGGCCGUUCAAAGCUUCGUGCGGUUAGAGAUGAAGAGGCGUUGAACAUGCUGUUCCACGGUUUACUCUU